CGCAUCUGUGCAUGCAGCAUAUCAAUAAGCGGAGGAAAAGAAACUAACAAGGAUUCCCUUAGUAACGGCGAGUGAAGCGGGAAGAGCUCAAAUUUGAAAUCUUCAAGGUUUUACCUUGACGAAUUGUAGUUUAAAGAAGUGUUUUCUGUUGAAGUUUUGGUAAAAGUUCUUUGGAAUAGGACAUCAUAGAGGGUGAGAAUCCCGUAUUUGACCAUUAUUUUCAGCUGUGUGAUACACUUUCAAAGAGUCGGAUUGUUUGGGAAUGCAGUCCAAAAUGGGUGGUAAAUUUCAUCUAAAGCUAAAUAUUGGCGAGAGACCGAUAGCGAACAAGUACCGUGAGGGAAAGAUGAAAAGAACUUUGAAAAGAGAGUUAAACAGUACGUGAAAUUGUCAAAAGGGAAGCGUUUGACACCAGUGUUGUUUUCUCGAAAAUCAAUUAAAAAGAGUUAGAUUUUGUUGUGUAUUGACCUUAACAGCUUGCAUUUCAAUUUUCUUGCUUUUUUUAAUGCACUUUUCGUUUAACAAGUCAACAUCAGUUUCUUUUGUUGUAAAAAGGUCAUUGGAAGGUGGCUUUCUUUUCGGAGAAAGUGUUUAUAGCCUUUGACUCCUGCAAUCGGAGAGACUGAGGUCUGCAGCGUAGAUCCUUCGGGGUUAGAUACAUUUGUGCUAAGUUAUAGCUUUUUAUAGACAACUUGUUGACUAUGAUUAGUCUUGUAGCUUACUCGCUUAUGCUAUUUUACCUACGCUUAGGAUGUUGACGCGCGUGUGUGCGUGGGUCUAUACAUGACUCUGUGCAUAUCAAUAAGCGGAGGAAAAGCAUAACAUGUAUACCUACGCUUAGGAUGUUGAAUCUGUGCGAGACUAC
rnacentral:rRNA from 1 species